AGCGAACGCUGGCGGCAGGCUUAACACAUGCAAGUCGAGCGGGCACUUUCGGGUGUCAGCGGCGGACGGGUGAGUAACGCGUGGGAACGUGCCCUCUGGUUCGGAAUAAAUCAGGGAAACUUGAGCUAAUACCGGAUACGCCCUUUUGGGGAAAGGCUUGCUGCCGGAGGAUCGGCCCGCGUCUGAUUAGCUAGUUGGUGAGGUAACGGCUCACCAAGGCGACGAUCAGUAGCUGGUCUGAGAGGAUGAACAGCCACACUGGGACUGAGACACGGCCCAGACUCCUACGGGAGGGAGCAGUGGGGAAUAUUGGACAAUGGGCGCAAGCCUGAUCCAGCCAUGCCGCGUGAGUGAUGAAGGCCUUAGGGUUGUAAAGCGCUUUUAUCCGGGACGAUAAUGACGGUACCGGAGGAAUAAGCCCCGGCUAACUUCGUG
rnacentral:rRNA from 1 species